rnacentral:rRNA from 1 species
UACGAAGGGGGCUAGCGUUGCUCGGAAUCACUGGGCGUAAAGCGCACGUAGGCGGAUUGUUAAGUCAGGGGUGAAAUCCUGGAGCUCAACUCCAGAACUGCCUUUGAUACUGGCAACCUAGAGACUGGAAGAGGUUAGUGGAAUUCCCAGUGUAGAGGUGAAAUUCGUAGAUAUCAGGAAGAACACCCGUGGCGAAGGCGGCUCUCUGGGACGGUACUGGACGCUGAGACGCGAAAGCGUGGGGAGCGAACAGG